UCGGCAUGAAGACAGCUGAAGACUUUUCUCAAUGAUGUAAGUGGUGGUGCAUGGUCGUUCUUAGUUCGUGGAUUGAUUUGUCUGGUCUAUUCCGAUAACGAGCGAGAUCCUAACGUUCCUAAUAGGGGUCUUAGCCCAGCGACUAGCGCAAGCUGACUGCUAGCUGUGAUUCUUUACUUCUUGGACGGAUCAGGGCCGAAAAGGUCCUUGAAAUGGGUUAAUAACAGGUCAGUCAUGCCCUUAGAUGUUCUGGGCCGCACGCGCGUUACAAUGGUAAACAUAGAAAGUGCCUCUUUACGAGCCUUCUGGGGUCUAACGAUGUCAGUAAACAGUAGUCUUUUCCUUGACUGGGCUAGUCUAUUGUAAUUAUUGGUCUUCAACGAGGAAUUUUUAGUAGUCGCAGGUCAUUAACCUGCGACGAAUGCGUCCCUGCCCUUUGUACACACCGCCCGUCGCUGCUACA
rnacentral:rRNA from 1 species